rnacentral:rRNA from 1 species
UACGAAGGGUGCUAGCGUUGUUCGGAAUCACUGGGCGUAAAGCGUGCGUAGGCGGCUUUGCAAGUCAGGGGUGAAAUCCCACAGCUUAACUGUGGAACUGCCUUUGAAACUGCAUAGCUGGAGUGUCGGAGGGGAUAGCGGAAUUUCUAAUGUAGCGGUGAAAUGCGUAGAUAUUAGAAGGAACACCGGUGGCGAAGGCGGCUAUCUGGACGACAACUGACGCUGAGGCACGAAAGCGUGGGGAUCAAACAGG